GCUUCUGUGUACCUUCAAUGCAGCAGAAUUUUAUAUGGAGUGUAGAUUGAUGUGGGAUGAAAAAAUUAAUUUAAAGCAGUUUAACGUAAGGCAGCAACAUAACAAAAUGUGAAAAAAUGAAGGGGUAUGAAUUAUUUCGCAAGGCACUGUACAUUUUCUGAAUUGGCAUUGAGGUCCAGAUGGUGUAAGAAACAUAGAUGGUUGAAAUACAAAAUAAACAUUUUAUUUGAGAGUAUGGACACUAAACUGCUCUAUAAUGCUUUUCUUGAGUAAAGUAGUUCUAUGAUAUACACAUUUAUAUUUAAAUAGAACCCUCAAAUCUUUUUUAUCAUAAACAGGAGAUGAGACGCCAAUAUUUAGAGGCACAGGAAAAGAGUCGACUACAGGCAAUUGAAGACAGACGGAAGAGGAUUGCAAGUCACGAGGAGCCCAUUGAUGGUGUGCCCAUCAAAUUCAAGUUUCCUCAUGGAUCCGAAAAAAUUCGAAAAUUCAUUUUGUCAGAGUCAAUUCAGAUCUUAUUUUACUUUGUUGGUCAGGAUGACCUGUCCAGUGAAGUGUUUUAUGUUCAAGAUGCGACAUCAUCUGCACCUCUUGAAAAUAACCUUACAGGAACACUGAAUGAUUACAACAUCAAGGGUCAUUCAACUCUUUAUGUUGUUUGGAUUUCACCACUAGAUUCCCAUGAAAGUCAAGGUAAACAGAACGAAGCAAGCAUUCAAGUGAAUUCUGGUAAAGUCCAUUUCACCUCAUCCUUUUCCAACCAGCUUGCAUCACCACAUGAACCGACUACUUCUUUGCCACUGAAUGAUUGUCAUUCCCCAUCACCCCCAAACUGGUCACCUGCUCCUUCACCUUCUCACACAUAUCACUGGUCACCUGAACGCUCUCUUCCCACUCAGCCAUCCUCUGUAACAACUGACAAUUGUGAAAAUAUUUUGGAUCAAGUUGAUCUGCAGAUGAUUUUGAAGAAGCUUCAUAGCAGAGUUGAUCUCUCAUGUUGUCCUACAAGCAAUCAAAUAAAUGUAUGUCGAGACAGCAUAUUACAAGGUAGCCUGCAAGCUUUCAAACGAAGGCACUUUAAUCCAGAAGCAAGGCUGGAUGUGAUUUUUGUGGACUUGAUGGGGUUGGAGAAGGAGCUGUAGAUGAAGGUGGACCAACCAGGGAAUUCCUACGCUUGCUAAUGAGGGAAAUCCAGAGGUCCAAAAUAUUUGAAGGACCGGAAGACAAAAGACUACUGGCUCUUGAUACUCAUGCUCUUGAGAAUGGCUUGUAUAUGACUAUUGCAAAAAUGAUUGCAGUGUGCAUAGUUCAUGGUGGAGUUGGCCCUCAUUUUUUUUCUGAUCAUCUUUUUAUGCAACUCUGUGGGUCAGUGUACACUUCCUGUUUCCCUUGAGGAAAUAGCAGACAAGCUUCAGAGAAAAACUCUCAAAGGUUAUUGUAACUUUAGACUUGUCUCAUCUACACAGGGAUUUUUUAUUGUAUCAUUUGUAAUGGGUGCUUUGUGAUUUCAUGGCAUAACAAUUUUCUAAUUAUUUACUUGUAGAUUAAAGAAGCAGACUCUGUUGAACACGCAAAUUCUGCAAUCUCAGAUGCUGGAGACAGUCUGUACAUGAUGGGAGCACUUAGGUACAUCUCAUCUCUUGAAGAGAGGGAUUCCCUGGUCCAAUCUGCAGCAGAAUACUUUGUGAAUGGGCGGACAAAUUUGGCUCUCAGACAAUUUGAAGAGGGUUUCAAAACACUUGGUCUGAUUCAAGAGCUCAAGAACCAUCCUGACAUUUUUGAGGACUUGUUCAUCAAUGCAGUCAGACCACUUGAGGCAAAAGAUCUGUCCACUCUUUUUAAGGUGGACUUUUCACCCCUUGGUAGCAACAAAAGGGAGCUGGAAAAUAAGACAGUCUGUUUCUGGAGAGACUGGUUAAUUGAUGUAGAAGAAGGUGACUGCAAUCGGUUGACACUGUCAAUGGUAAUGGAGUUUGCUUCAGGAGCCUCAUCUGUGCCUCCACUAGGAUUCACCCAUCAGCCAAAAAUCUAA
ensembl:lncRNA